GUCAAAGUCAAAAAAUAAUUCAGUCGCUAAAUCGGUCGCUAUGUGGCUAUAGAGACCGAAUUGGAGACCGAUUUAUUAGCGACCGUAAAUUCCGUCGCUAUGGUUUUUAUUUUUUUAAUAUAUGCUAUUUUUUUAUGUUAAAUAAUUUUCAUAAUAAUUCAAUAUAUUUUUCUUAAAACGACAUUUUUAUACCCAAAACCUUCAGUUUCUUUUUACGCGAACCUAGAAACCUUUUCUUCUUCACUCAAUUUCUUCUCCCACACCCAAAAAUCAAAUUUUUUUCAAGUCUUCCAAACCCAGAAUCCUCUUAUUCUCACUUGAAUUGAUUGAAACCAGAAACCCUUAAUCAUUAUUAUUCAUUCACCCUCAAUAGAUUGAACCCAAAAACCUUUACUCUUCUCUUCCAUCGUCAGUCAAUCUCACUCACUCAUUGAAACCCUAAAAUCCAGAAGCUUGACUCGUUGGAACCAGAAUCCAGAACUCGUUAAAACCCAAAACCAUCUUCCCCAUCGUUCUAGAGUUCUUUGAACCCAGAAACUCUUCGUCGUGUCUGCAUCGUUCACCAUUAUUCAUCGUAAUUGAACCUUGUCUCGUCAGAACUCGUUCUUUAGAUCUUAUAUUUGAUAGCACAAAUUUAUAAUUAUGCCGGUAACAUCAUCGACAAUGGUCAUUCUCAUCUCAUUAUUUUCAAGUUCAAAAUGUCACACUACAUGGGAACUGAGGUAUUGAGAAACAACCUUUUCAACUUCCUAAUUUCAUUCCUGCCACUGAUAUUGAAAACAUCAGACAGGAGGCUUAUAUUAUGGUUACCGUCUUCGUCGAUAUUUUCUGCCUCGAGGUUGCUGCUGUAAAUUCCUCUCUUGACAUUCCUCAAUUCCCGUCUUUUCCGAAGAACAUAACAUAAUUGAAUGGCACUCCCCCCCGCUCCUUCAAAUUUGUUUGUUCACACACCAACUUUGCAAGAAUAAGACUUGGGUUGAUCGAAGAUCGGAACAUGUCUAUGGAAAGGGAUGAACUUCGUGAUAUGGUAAAACAAUUGUUCGAAAGCUUAAACUUUCAACCCAAGCCAUAUACCAGAGAUCAAGUUCAUGAAGAUGACGUGGCUGAUGAUAGUGAUGAUAUGUCUGAUGAUGGUGAAGAAUUAGAUCAAGAAUGGCAAGUGUAGUAGUGUGGCAUACUUUUUGUAGUUUUUUGAGUUAUGACAUUGACUUUUUGUAUGCAAGAAUUGAAAGGGAUUUAUUCCCCCUUUUGUAUGUGUCUCCACCACAUGAUACAAUAAUGGAUAAACUUUCUCCUGGAUGAAAGGAAGCUAGGAGGUGUUGGAGUCUCUUAUAGAGUUACAAAGUGUAUUAGAAUGAAAAAAAAUAAGCUGGAGUCUCUUAUAAAGUUACCUAGUGUAUUAGAAUGAAAAAAACUAAGCUGUAUAUAGAUAUAAUUUAUGUUUGUCUGUAUUGUAUUGACGAUUCCUAUGUUA